rnacentral:tRNA from 1 species
GGAGGCAUAGCUCAGCCGGUAGAGCGCUCGCCUCACACGCGAGAGGUCGUAGAUUCGAGUUCUACUGUCUCCACCA